GAUGAACGCUGGCGGCGUGCCUAAUACAUGCAAGUCGAGCGAACGGACGAGAAGCUUGCUUCUCUGAUGUUAGCGGCGGACGGGUGAGUAACACGUGGAUAACCUACCUAUAAGACUGGGAUAACUUCGGGAAACCGGAGCUAAUACCGGAUAAUAUUUUGAACCGCAUGGUUCAAAAGUGAAAGACGGUCUUGCUGUCACUUAUAGAUGGAUCCGCGCUGCAUUAGCUAGUUGGUAAGGUAACGGCUUACCAAGGCAACGAUGCAUAGCCGACCUGAGAGGGUGAUCGGCCACACUGGAACUGAGACACGGUCCAGACUCCUACGGGAGGCAGCAGUAGGGAAUCUUCCGCAAUGGGCGAAAGCCUGACGGAGCAACGCCGCGUGAGUGAUGAAGGUCUUCGGAUCGUAAAACUCUGUUAUUAGGGAAGAACAUAUGUGUAAGUAACUGUGCACGUCUUGACGGUACCUAAUCAGAAAGCCACGGCUAACUACGUGCCAGCAGCCGCGGUAAUACGUAGGUGGCAAGCGUUAUCCGGAAUUAUUGGGCGUAAAGCGCGCGUAGGCGGUUUUUUAAGUCUGAUGUGAAAGCCCACGGCUCAACCGUGGAGGGUCAUUGGAAACUGGAAAACUUGAGUGCAGAAGAGGAAAGUGGAAUUCCAUGUGUAGCGGUGAAAUGCGCAGAGAUAUGGAGGAACACCAGUGGCGAAGGCGACUUUCUGGUCUGUAACUGACGCUGAUGUGCGAAAGCGUGGGGAUCAAACAGGAUUAGAUACCCUGGUAGUCCACGCCGUAAACGAUGAGUGCUAAGUGUUAGGGGGUUUCCGCCCCUUAGUGCUGCAGCUAACGCAUUAAGCACUCCGCCUGGGGAGUACGACCGCAAGGUUGAAACUCAAAGGAAUUGACGGGGACCCGCACAAGCGGUGGAGCAUGUGGUUUAAUUCGAAGCAACGCGAAGAACCUUACCAAAUCUUGACAUCCUUUGACAACUCUAGAGAUAGAGCUUUCCCCUUCGGGGGACAAAGUGACAGGUGGUGCAUGGUUGUCGUCAGCUCGUGUCGUGAGACGUUGGGUUAAGUCCCGCAACGAGCGCAACCCUUAAGCUUAGUUGCCAUCAUUAAGUUGGGCACUCUAAGUUGACUGCCGGUGACAAACCGGAGGAAGGUGGGGAUGACGUCAAAUCAUCAUGCCCCUUAUGAUUUGGGCUACACACGUGCUACAAUGGACAAUACAAAGGGCAGCGAAACCGCGAGGUCAAGCAAAUCCCAUAAAGUUGUUCUCAGUUCGGAUUGUAGUCUGCAACUCGACUACAUGAAGCUGGAAUCGCUAGUAAUCGUAGAUCAGCAUGCUACGGUGAAUACGUUCCCGGGUCU
rnacentral:rRNA from 1 species